rnacentral:rRNA from 1 species
CCUACGGGAGGCAGCAGUGGGGAAUAUUGGGCAAUGGGCGAAAGCCUGACCCAGCAACGCCGCGUGAAGGAAGAAGGCUUUCGGGUUGUAAACUUCUUUUGACAGGGAAGAGCAGAAGACGGUACCUGUCGAAUAAGCCACGGCUAACUACGUGCCAGCAGCCGCGGUAAUACGUAGGUGGAAGCCUUGGUCGGAUUUACUGGGUGGAAGGGGAGCGUAGACGGGAGGACAAGUCAGGAGUGAAAUCCCGGGGCCUAACCCCGGAACUGCUUUGGAAACUGUGCGGCUGGAGUGCAGGAGGGGUAAGCGGAAUUCCUGGUGUAGCGGUGAAAUGCGUAGAUAUUAGGAGGAACACCGGUGGCGAAGGCGGCUUACUGGACUGUAACUGACGUUGAGGCUCGAAAGCGUGGGGAGCAAACAGGAUUAGAUACCCGGGUAGUC